rnacentral:rRNA from 1 species
UACGGGGGGAGCAAGCGUUGUUCGGAUUUACUGGGCGUAAAGGGCGCGUAGGCGGCCACCGCAAGUCGACUGUGAAAUCUCCGGGCUUAACCCGGAAAGGUCAGCCGAUACUGCGGGGCUAGAGUGCAGAAGGGGCGGCUGGAAUUCUCGGUGUAGCGGUGAAAUGCGUAGAUAUCGAGAGGAACACCUGCGGCGAAGGCGGGUUGCUGGGCUGACACUGACGCUGAGGCGCGAAAGCUAGGGGAGCGAACGGG